UGCUAGUAAAUUCUUAAUGCUAUACAAAAUCGUAAAAGAGAAACGACCUAUUGGUUCUAUCAGAAGACCGACAGAUACAGUGAAUAGUAUAGCAUUAGCAGUCGAGCAGUGCACACGAAAAUUUUAACGCAAUAUUUCAUUUUGUGAUCUCUAGUUUUGUUUAUCAUUACGAGUUGUACAUUUGGAAAAGGAUCUAGAGAUUUUUUCAAAUCUCUAGAUCCUUUAACCUGCGGAAAUCGAGGGCAAUAGAAAAAAAGUUUGGAAAUUUGAAACAAUUAUAAUGUGAUAAAGAAAGUUCUAGUGCAUCGGCAAAAAAAAAAAUAAAAAUGCAAGAGAACUUAAUUAUACCAGAAGAUUAUUGCAUAGAACAUAAAUAUUAAAUUUUAUAUUACUCAAAAUAACAACGAAAGUUUGAAUCAAUUAAAUUGGAAAAUAAACCCUAAAAUCAUUCCAAGCGGCAAUAAAACCGUAGAAACAGUGGCUUAUAUUGUCCCCGAUAUAUUUAAUGAAGAUACUUUGAAAAAGAAAUUGUUACGCGCUUCAAAAUUUUGGACCUCGGCGUAUAGCAGAGAACUCAAGAUGCAAGGGCACUUUGACGACAUAUUCAAAUUCAAAGUUUGAAAACUGUAAGUGAUUUGGAAGACUCACUCUAUGAUCCUGGAAUAGACAAAUUUGUAUGAUCGGCUUAAAGCUAGAUUGCAAAACGCUUCUAACAAAAAUUGUUUCUAAGAGAUUGUUCAUGUCUUUUUAUUUAUCGAUAAUGUAACAUAAAAAAAUUAUUGAAUUAUUUGUAACAUACAUAUAUUAGAAUGCAUUAACGAUUCUUUCAAAAGGUCUUAUAGUAUUAUAAAAAAAAAAUAGUUUUUUUGGCCUUAUCUUCAGCGAUCAAACCUAGAAUUCUGAGAGCAGCAGUCAUCGUCUUAAUGCCGGACGAUACGUUACUGACUCUUUUAUUUUUUUAUUUUAUACAUAAGGUAAGUCGGGGGAAAGGUUUUAGUUGAGCGAAGAAGUCACUUUGUGUAUAAUUCCUCCACAAAUUAGUGAUUAGCUAAUCUGAUCGUGCAUAAAUGUGCACUAAAUUGUUACGAAACUUUGACUAUAAAGGAAAAUUCCAUAUUAAGAAUCAGUAAAUAUUUAUGAGAAUAAGGAAAGAUAAGUUAAGAAUAAGGAAAGAUAAGAAAUAUUGUCCUUACAAUAUAUUUAAUAACGUAAUAACUAAGUUCUGUGGUACGAUAGUUACUUUAAAAUCAGGUAACUGUUAUAUAGUUUCGAGCUAUGCUUCUUUACAGUCACAUGGUUAGCACAAAUUAUAUUUUUUGAAGUCGUUAUAUGCGUACAAGCUGCAGUGACAUCUUUUCCUAACAUUUGAGGGUAAGAUGCCAAUUUAAGUAAAACGUGAGUAUUUAAGCUUGACAGCUUCAUAAACAUGGUUUAAAAAAUUGCAAUUUUGAGCACUUUAUAUAAUUCUAAACAUUUUAAAUUUGUAAAAUGCUGUUUAAACAUAUAAAAGUAUCAAAGUGUUAGAAGUUAAUCCAUUAAUUGCCUAUUUACAUUUUAACACUUAUUUUUGUGUUUUUAUAAUUUAAACUUGAUUAUCUGCUCUAUAUAAGUAAAACAUGCAAGUUUCUAUUACGUCAUACUAUUUAAAUAGUUGUAACAUUUGCCUUCAUAAGAUGUGGCAUCUUACCAGUAUAGUACGCAGAAAAUGCCAGUUUUACAGUACUUAAAUAAUUUUUUUUCUCAAACAUUUGGAAUGUCAAAAUUUUAAUUACUUUGUACGAAUAAAUAAAGAUCUCAAGAAUACUAUAUUAAUUUUUCAUUGCUUAAUUUCGUAACAUAAUGAAGUUAUUCCAGAAGAAAGGCUCAAGUGUGGCAUCUUCCCUCGACUUACCUUAUAUAUUUUUUUGCAAGAAUGCCUGAAUUUUGCAACUUACACUUUACUGCAUUAAAAGUUUGAAUGAAUAAUACACCAUAAAAUUUUAUUAAAAUCGGUGAAACCCGAUUACUGGAUUCUUCUUAGAAGUGCGAAUCAAAGAGUAAAUUCAUAAAAUGGUUUAACUGUAACGAGUUUGGACACAAGACUCCUAAAUACAAGAAAGAGAAAACAAAAAGGAAGAAAGAUGAAGAACAAGUAACAUCAAAGAAGACUGAACCUAUGAACAGUUAUGAUUCAUGUAAAAAUGUACAUAAGACGAUUGAGAUUUUGAAGGAUAAACUGAAUGCUUUAGUGGACACGGGGUGUUGCGGUUCAAUAUUAACAAGAAAACCUAUAUAAAAAUUAAUCACCGGAAUUUUAAAAAACUAAGCUACGCUUUUCGGGAAGAAACGAGGUAAAGCCUAUGGGAUAUUUUGAAGAUAUAAUUUCUGUUGACGACAAAUCUUUGAAGUAAAUAUCUAUAUAGUAUUGAAUGACGUCUUGAUAACGGAAGUUAAAUUCAAUAUUAUGCAAAAUAGUAUUGUCAUCAAGAAGUUACACGAAGGUACUACUGUCACUGCCUAAUUACGUCACAGAAGAAGGUAAGCCGAGCACUGUGAAUAUUACAUGCAUACAGAAGAAGCAAGAAAUGGAGAAUUUUCUGGAAGAUUAUUAACUACAGAAGAUAAAGAGUGCUAAUAUUGAAAUAACGAUAACAGUCAGUUAUAAUCAAAAGGUUGUAGUAGGACCAAGACUGUUGUUUCUAGAAAGAAAUUAUAGAAGAGCAAGUAGAGCAAUGGAUCAAGGAAAAAAUAAUAGAAUGGUACAAAACUUGUAUGGCACAAAACUUGUUUAUCCCAGUGAAAUAUACAACAUUGAAAGAAUUUAUAGAAAAAUUAGAACUGCAGAAAAGUAUAUUUGAAAGUCCUAGCUGUAUCAUUUCUGAUCAAGAGAGAGUAUUCACAUCCAACGACUUUAAAAACUAUUACCAUUAAAAAGAUAUUAAACACUCAUGAAGAUCACUCGUGAAGACCAUUGUCAAUUUACCAAGAUCUAAUGGUUAAAUUAAAAUCCCAGUUGUAUCAUUUCCGACCAAGGGACAGUAUUCAUUGCCAACGAUUUUGAAGACUACUGCCGUUAGGAAGAUAUUAAACAUAUAAAGAUCAUUGUUGAUUUACCAAGAGCUAAUGGUUACAUUAAAAUCCCAGCUGUAUCAUUUCCGAUCGAGGGACAGUUUUCACUUCAAACAACUUCAAAAACUACUAUCAUUAGAAAGAUAUUUAACACGUGAAGAUCAUUGUCAAUUUACUAAGAGCUAAUGGUCAAAUUAAAAUCUCAACUGUAUCAUUUCCGAUCAAGAGACAGUAUUUAUUUCCAGCAAUUUCGAAGACUACUUCCGUUAGGAAGAUAUUAAAUACCUAAAGAUCAUUGUCAAUUUACCAAGAGCUAAUGGUCAAAUUAAAAUCCCAGCUGCAUCAUCGAGAGACAGUAUUCACUUCCAACAAAUUUGAAGACUACUGCCGUUAGGAAGAUAUUAAACAUAUGAAGAUCAUUGUCGAUUUACCAAGAGCUAAUAGUUAAAUUAAAAUCCCAGCUGUAUCAUUUCCAAUCGAGGGACAGUUUUCACUUCAAACAACUUUGAAGACUACUUCCGUUAGGAAGAUAUUAAACACAUGAAGAUCAUUAUUGAUUUAUCACAAGCUAAUAGUCAAAUUAAAAUCCCAACUGUAUCAUUUCCGAUCGAGGGACAGUAUUCACUUCCAACGACUUUGAAAACUACUAUCAUUAGAAGGAUAUUUAACACGUAAAGAUCAUUGUUGAUUUACCAAGAGCUAAUGGUCAAAUUAAAAUCCCAGAUGCAUCAUCGAGAGACAGUAUUCACUUCCAACAAAUUUGAAGACUACUGCCGUUAGGAAGAUAUUAAACAUAUGAAGAUCAUUGUCGAUUUACCAAGAGCUAAUAGUUAAAUUAAAAUCCCAGCUGUAUCAUUUCCAAUCGAGGGACAGUUUUCACUUCAAAUAACUUCGAAGACUACUUCCGUUAGAAAGAUAUUAAACACAUGAAGAUCAUUAUUGAUUUAUCACAAGCUAAUGGUCAAAUUAAAAUCCCAUCUGUAUCAUUUCCGAUCGAGACAGUAUUCAUUUCCAGCGAUUUCGAAGACUACUUCCGUUAGGAAAACAUUAAACACAUGAAAAUCAUCGUCGGUUUACCAAGAGUUAAUGGUCAAAUUGAGAUGGUAAAUCGCAACAUACAUAUUAAAUAUUAUAUUUUGAUGCGGUGUAUAUAUUUGUGUUUUACAAUUAUUUGGGAUUAAUAAUGUUUUUCAUAAAUCUUUGUAACGUUCUGAAGCAUUAAGCAUUUUCAAAAGUUUUAAUUGCUUAGAAAGCUGUUUCAUAGCCAUUGUCUGGAACGACAUUCUUGACCGUUUUAAUGCAGUAAAUAAACAAUUACAAUCUGUAAAUGCAGACCUUUCUACCGUAGUUGAACUGUACUAAUCAUUAAUUGAAUUUAUCAAUAUAAUGCGUAUAAAUUUCAGUCUUUACAAAAAGAAAACCAUUGAGAAAUGUGGAAGGAAAGAGUAUGAUCGCGAUAUCUCCCGACGUCGAAAACAAAAAAUACCUUACAAUUGUGAGCAGAAUGAUAAUGAUGAAAAUCCAUUGUCUGGUAGUGAUGAUAUGCGUAUCAAUGUGUUUUACGUAAUUUUAGAUGCACUUCUGACCGAUUUGAAUAAACGAAGCGUCUGUUACACCAAUUUAAAUAAUAAAUUCGGUUUUUUAACAAACUUAUAUACAUUAAGUCCAGAAAUAAUUACAGAAAAGCUCUUAAUUUGCAAUCCAGUUAUCCCGACGAUCUAGAAGAUUAGAUGUUGAAUGUCAGCAUCUUGCUGCACAUUUGCGCACACUAAAUGUAAAAGAAUUAUCUGCGUUUGAAUUAUGUAAAAUACUCCAUCAACAAGAGUUUCUUAUUCUGUAUCCGAAUGUAAAUAUCGCACUCCAAAUUUUACUUUGCAUGAUAGUCUCAAAUUGUUCAGGUAAAAGAUCCUUUUCUGUACUGCGGCGAGUAAAAAAUUAAGAACUAUUCAAAGCAAUGACCGCUUAAAUACCUUAGCAUUGUUAUAUAUUGAAGCAGAGUUUAAUUACGAGAUAGAUUAUAAUUCUAAUAUCAACAAGUUUGCUAUUAAAAAAGCACGUAAAGUUCAUUUACAAUAAAUAAGUAUUGUUAUAUAUAAUUGUAUAA